rnacentral:rRNA from 1 species
GAUUAUGGCUCAGAACGAACGCUGGUAGCGUGGAUUAGGCAUGCAAGUCGAACGGGAUCAGCCGGAUAGCAAUAUUCGGCUGUGAGAGUGGCGGAUUGGGGAGGAGCACGUGAGCAACCUGCCCUGGGGACGGGGAAAAACCUCUGGAAACGGAGGCUAAUACCGGAUGCGGCGCCCGGAGACAUCUUCGGAGCGCCAAAGGGGGCCGCAAGGCUCCCGCCCCUGGAGGGGCUCGCGCACCAUCAGCUUGUUGGCGGGGUAACGGCCCACCAAGGCUCACGGUUGGCUGGUCUGAGAGGAUGACCAGCCCCACUGGGACUGAGAUACUGCCCAGACUCCUACGGGAGGCUGCAGUCGAGGAUCAUUCGCAAUGGGCGAAAGCCUGACGAUGCGACGCUGCGUGGAGGAUGAAGGCCUUCGGGUUGUAAACUCCUGUCAUGGGGGAACAGGCGAGGGGAGUUAACACCUCCCUUAGUUGAGUGUACCCCAAGAGGAAUUGGCGGCUAACUCUGUGCCAGCCGCCGC